CCCAGUCCCGUGUUUGCAGUAAAUGGGGAAUUGCCUCAGCGGCUGCAGGCCUGAGUGAGCGCCGCCAUCUUUAUUCGGGACAAGGAUUCACUGGACACGUGCUGGGCCGCCAUCUUUGUAGGGGGCAAGGUGCAGCCAGGCGCAUGUGCAGCCUCUCUCUGGUACAGAGUCAUUGUGAUGACAGCAGCCAAUCCUGCUCUGAUUCACCUCUGGGCUCCCUCAGGACCACUUUGUCAAUGUCCAGCUUCCUCAGUCUCCAACCAUGGGGAUCCCAGUGAUUAAUGCCAAAGCCCUGUUGCCUGUGGAGAGGGUGAUGCUUGACUUAUUGUACAGCUGCAGUUUGUGUGGUGAAGGUGCUCCCACAAUGUGGUUGGGAUACUACAGGUGGACAUUCAGAUGGUAAUCUCAGUCAUUGUAACACCAAACUCUGAUUGAAUUAGUCAAUUCAUCAGGACCUGGAUAUUCGCAUUGUGUGUGCAGAGAUGGCCAUUCGUACAGUGAUGUGCUCUUCCUGUUGGAUGUGGGAGAUUAAGGAAGGUUUCAAUGAUCUGAUUGUCUGCAGGAAGUGAGGAUGCAAAUCCUGUAGGAUUUCCUGGAUCAGAUGGAGCAAUGGUUAAAGGUAAUGAAGAAUUUACAGGAGCAUGGGGGUGUGAUAGGUGGCAGUUUCAGAAAGGUAGGAAAACUGCCGAUCCAGUCAGGUAGAUGGGUUUC